CAGGUAUGCGUGCAUCAAGCAUCCUCUCCAUGGCCUGCAAGAGUGAGUCUGCCAUUUGGCGCAACUCAGCCCGUGCAACAGGGGGUUCUUCUUCUCCAUGAUGAUCACCAUGAAUACUUGAGUUGGAUCUUGUUAUGUUAGCACUAAAGCAAAAUAUAGUGGAAUGGGUAAAUUUAUGGAAUCACACAACCUCACCUCUUACUUACCAAUGCUUUUUCCUAUUCUCAAGGAAAAUGAAUUAUGCUAGUGUAGCAGCUCAACAAAAGUGAUUCUGAGGUCGCAAGGAUUACAAGUCGAAUGUUCUGGUUUCAGUUUUGGGUGGAGCUAUAGGUGGCUAAACAAGGGAGGCUACGGUACUGAAAAUGAAGUGGUUUGAUGUGCUCAAAAGAUAUAAUGUUGCUGAUAUAUAAAUCACCAAGAAUUUGAAUAUGUAAACUAAAUUUUUCAGUGAGCAAACCGCAAUAUAGCCCUUUCCUCUUCUUCUACUUUUUUCUGUUCUUUCUCUUUUCUUUUCUCUGAAUUGUUUUUCUCUGACUUUUUUUUGAACUCUUUUUUUACUAACAAGGGUGCGGAUAACAAAUGAAACACAACACAAUAUAUGUAAAGAGGAUGAUUAGCAACUUGAUGAACACAAAAAGACAAGAUAACAGUACCGUCAAAGGGCUUUAGGAUUUUUUAUGGAUU
rnacentral:lncRNA from 1 species